rnacentral:lncRNA from 13 species
GUAAUGGUGAAAUAAUGUAUAUAUUUUUAAAAGUGAAAACAUGAGUAGGACAAGGAGGUGAGUUGACAUUGUUUACAGUGUGUCUCGUUGUAAGCACUUUUUUUUUUUUACAUUUCUCUGUUCAGUGAGUGAAACUUGUAGAACGCUUGAACCCAUAUGCUGUGGUUUCAUGACUAGUUGGCCAUUUCCCCAUAGCAGGAAACAGAACUGUCUGAGCGUAAUGACAACUACACAUUCAUUUCAUGCCAAACUUUCUAGUUUACAAACAUGUCCUCACCCCAUACUCUGAGAGUUUUAACAUCUACUGGUGGGCUUCCCAUGUGGAUGAUGCUUCUUCACCUCGACAUAAGCUAUGUUGUUGCAGAAGACAUCAGAGUAGUUGGACGUGUAGGAAACUCCAUAUUCCUUCACCCUAAAAUGCACUUACACGCCAAGAUCUCUGACAUAAGAUGGAAACAUGAUAAUACAGAUAUGUUAAUAGCUAGAAAUGGUACGCUUGUUAAUUUAAUGGAUAGGUGUGAGAUCUUUCUAAAUGGUUCACUGAAGUUUCAAGAAGGACUGAAAAGAGACAGUGGAAAUUAUACUGUUCAACAAUACAGUGAAAAUGGAGGCUGUUUAUCCGAGCGGCACAUUGAGCUCAGUAUUCUAGAACCUGUUUCCAAACCAAAGGUGAGAACCUCCUGUACUUUUGAUGGGAGAGUUGUUCUGACCUGCUCUGUUGAUAAAGGAGACAGAGUUGUGAUGAUCUGGACCGAGCAGCCAUUUGCCUGGACAGGGUCCAAUCAGACCCUGGGCUCAGGUCCUGUUCUAUUCCUGGACAGCCAUACGCCUGGAAACCUGACCUGUGUGGCAAUGAACGAAAUAAGUGAGGAAGGCUUCAGCCCAGUUGUCCCAACAUGCAGAGGUCACAGGUCAGCUGUGGCUGCAUUUGGUCUCUUUGCAUUUGCACUGACGACACUGGCCGUCGCCAUUCUACAUUUGAAGAAGAGGCGUCAGAAAAAGAGAAAAGGUCAAAGUCAGACUGAAUAUGUGGAGGAGAACAACUACAUUGAGAUGAGUGGGGAUUUAUGCAACAAAUGGCCACAGGAGGAGACCACAAUCCACCCGGACCAAGACACCUCCCAUUACGAAUUCUGCAGACCUCUUGCAUCUGCUUCCAGCCAGAGAAAGGGACGACUAUCACUGGAGUUGAAUGAUAUCUAUGUAUGAAGAACAAUGUGUUAAUGGCAUUUCAAUAGCAUCGAUUUGUUUUCCAAUGUGAAGUAUGCACCUACGCACCAUAAUUACUGAUCAGUUUUUACAAUUCAUUAUGGUGUAUUUCUGCGAUAGAUGUAAUUUUGUUGCAUAGUCGUAGAGCCUAGAGAAGCGACAUAUAGGGCAUUAUUUCACCUGUAUUUUGAUAUUGUAUCAUACCCGUACUGACUUCAUUAUCAGACUGGACCACUAGGUGGAAGCAUUACAGUAUGAUAAAGAAACAGGGUGACGAGAGGUGAGAAGAAACAUCACAGGAUUACUGUCAUUACAUCAAUAGUUUGUUUCAAAACAUAUGGACGCUGCUGGGACGACUGUAAAUUAUUCCAUUUCAAACUGUUCUAGUUAUUAUUGUCUAAUGUUUGUUUAACUUCAAAAUGUCCAUAUAAAAGACUCCUGAGUGGCACAGCGGUCUAAGGCACUGUUUCUCAGUGCUAGAGGUGUCACUACAGACCCUGGUUUGAUUCCAGGCUGUAUCACAACCGGCUGUUAUUGGGAGUCCCAUAGGGUGGUGCACAAUUGGCACAGCCUUGUCUGGGUUAGGAUUUGGCCGGGGUAGGCUGUCAUUGUAAAUAAGAAUUUGUUCUUAACUGACUUUUCUAGAUAAAUAAAUAGUAUAGCCAGGGUUCUCUGUUUCUGGAUAGCUACCCUCCUGUAGGUUUUCAAUCCAAAUCUCACUUAGCACACCUGAUUCUACUAAUUAGUUGGUUGAUAAUCAGAAUCAGGUUAGUUACAACUGGGGUUGGAGUGGAAACCUACAGGAAGGUAGCUAGCUCUCCAGUAACAGGGUUGGAGUGGAAACCUACAGGAAGGUAGCUAGCUCUCCAGUAACAGGGUUGGAGUGGAAACCUACAGGAAGGUAGCUAGCUCUCCAGUAACAGGGUUGGAGUGGAAACCUACAGGAAGGUAGCUAGCUCUCCAGUAACAGGGUUGGAGUGGAAACCUACAGGAAGGUAGCUAGCUCUCCAGUAACAGGGUUGGAGNNNNNNNNNNUUGCAUAGUCGUAGAGCCUAGAGAAGCGACAUAUAGGGCAUUAUUUCACCUGUAUUUUGAUAUUGUAUCAUACCCGUACUGACUUCAUUAUCAGACUGGACCACUAGGUGGAAGCAUUACAGUAUGAUAAAGAAACAGGGUGACGAGAGGUGAGAAGAAACAUCACAGGAUUACUGUCAUUACAUCAAUAGUUUGUUUCAAAACAUAUGGACGCUGCUGGGACGACUGUAAAUUAUUCCAUUUCAAACUGUUCUAGUUAUUNNNNNNNNNNGGUUGGAGUGGAAACCUACAGGAAGGUAGCUAGCUCUCCAGUAACAGGGUUGGAGUGGAAACCUACAGGAAGGUAGCUAGCUCUCCAGUAACAGGGUUGGAGUGGAAACCUACAGGAAGGUAGCUAGCUCUCCAGUAACAGGGUUGGAGUGGAAACCUACAGGAAGGUAGCUAGCUCUCCAGUAACAGGGUUGGAGAGCCCUGGCACUACAUACUACACUCAUUACAUUGUUCAAGUCACCAGUCCAGUUUCAUUACAGGUGAUGUUAGAAUGAAGAAUGCAAAAACAUGUAAAUAUUCUUACAAGUUUUUUUUAAAGUGUCAAAUAAACUACAUAUGCAUACAUGUAAUUGUUAUAUUUGUACUGUAUGAAUUGCAAUGUCCUGAAGACAACACUAGCAUAAUGUCACCUAUCUACAGUAUAUAGUCAAUUCCCC